rnacentral:rRNA from 1 species
UACGUAGGGGGCAAGCGUUGUCCGGAAUUAUUGGGCGUAAAGAGCUUGUAGGCGGUCUGUCGCGUCUGCUGUGAAAAUCCGGGGCUCAACCCCGGACUUGCAGUGGGUACGGGCAGACUAGAGUGUGGUAGGGGAGACUGGAAUUCCUGGUGUAGCGGUGAAAUGCGCAGAUAUCAGGAGGAACACCGAUGGCGAAGGCAGGUCUCUGGGCCGGAUACUGACGCUGGAGGAGCGAAAGCGUGGGGAGCGAACAGG